CUUUUAAUUGGAGGCUUGAAUGAAUGGUUGCACGAGAAAGAAGCUGUCUCUUUCUAAAGAUUGAAUUUUACUUUUGAGUGAAAAGGCUUAAAUAAUCUGAAGUGACGAUAAGACCCUAUAAAAUUUUACGAUUGGGUUUUACUUUAUAAAAUUUAGUUUAACUUAAAUUAAGAUUAUUAUCGUUGGGUUGGGGCGACUUUUAUAUAAUAAAAUAACUGUAAAAUAAGAUAAUAAAUUUAUUUAGUUAGUUGAUCCUUUUAUAAAGAUUAAAAGAGUAAAUUACUUUAGGGAUAACAGCGUA
rnacentral:rRNA from 1 species